rnacentral:siRNA from 1 species
GAAGUCCUCGUGUUGCAU